rnacentral:rRNA from 1 species
UACGUAGGGGCCAAGCGUUGUCCGGAUUUAUUGGGCGUAAAGAGCUCGUAGGCGGUUCGGCAAGUCGAAUGUGAAAUCUCCACGCUCAACGUGGAGGGGUCAUUCGAUACUGCCGUGACUCGAGUCCGGGAGGGGCGAGGUGGAAUUCCUGGUGUAGCGGGUGAAAUGCGCGAUAUCAGGAGGAACACCAAUGGCGAAGGCAGCUCCGCUGGAACGGUAAGCUGG